UACGAAGGGGGCUAGCGUUGCUCGGAAUCACUGGGCGUAAAGCGCACGUAGGCGGACUUUUAAGUCAGGGGUGAAAUCCCGGGGCUCAACCCCGGAACUGCCCUUUGAUACUGGAAGUUCUUGAGUAUGGUAGAGGUGAGUGGAAUUCCGAGUGUAAGAGGUGAAAUUCGUAAGAUAUUCGGAGGAACACCAGUGGCGAAGGCGGCUCACUGGACCAUUACUGACGCUGAGGUGCGAAAGCUGGGGAGCAAACAGAUUGAGAAACCCUUGGUA
rnacentral:rRNA from 1 species